CACAAAUGGAACUCACCCAGCUCCACUCGCGAGGUUAAGAGCCAAAAAUUCCCAUGAUCGCAGGCGAAUUCAUUUGACUUCCGUUUCAGUUAAUUUUGUUGCUUGUUUACAGGAGAAGGGAGAGAGGUAGCAUGAAGAACAGUUUUUAUUCCUGCAGGAUCGAGUGCAGGACUUGGAGGCUGAGUCCAGCCGGCCGCUGUCCACUCCCCGCCAGCCCCGUGUCCUGGAGCAGGUCACUGACCCGGUUCCUCGAGUGCGGCAGGGCAGCCGCUUCCUACUAAAUCGCCUCCCAAAGCGUUGUCAGAUCCCAUUUCAGAACAUGUUAUUGGAAAACGCCUUGAACACUCCAAACUGCAGCACAGUUAUUAGGAAGAAAAGGAUGACUAAAUCACUGGAAACUGUUAAUGUGAAAAGCACAAGCUCAAUCUGCAUCACAGACCUGGCUUUUGUUUGCCCUGCAUCUCUUGGCCAGGCAGUCCUAGGGGAGAAUGAGGGUGUUUUGGCCUAUGCCCUUCAUUCUUUGUGUCCGGGAAUGAUGGUAAGUCUGAAGCAAAUUCUUUGAUAUCUACUCUUGAGAUUGUCUCAUUUCUCUGAGUUAUCUCCCACAUAGUUAUAAGGUAGUCAUGUUAAUAAACUUGUUUGCUUUUCUCUUGUUAAUCUGUCUUUUGUUCUAGCAGUCCAUCUCAAAGAACUCAGAGAGG